rnacentral:misc_RNA from 1 species
UCUGGAGCUGCUCACUGGGAAGCAGCCGACUAAUUCAUCUGACUUCGGGGACAACAACUUGGUGGGUUGGGUGAAGCAGCACUCGAAGCUCAGAAUAACCGAUGUUUUCGAUGAUGAACUAUUGAAGGAGGACCCAAAUCUUGUGCUCGAGCUAUUGGAGCACUUAAAGAUCGCUCAUGCGUGCUUGGAGGAGAAACCGCUACACCGCCCAACAAUGUUAAACGUCAUGGCAAUGUUCAAGGAGAUACAAGCAG